CUAAAAUCAUUUCCCUUUUCUUUUCUAGACUUUUCUUUGCUUAAAACCCCAAAAUCUCGUCCCUUUUUUUUCUCAGUCUUUUUGUUGCUUGAAAACCCCAAAAUCCUGCCCCUUGUGCUUUUAUUUUAGCUACUCCUCACAUUGAAGAAAAUAUCAGUCUUUUCUCAGUCUCAAUCGACAUUGUCUUAGGGACUUGGAGGACGAGAAAAGCCAAUUGCAGCACAGCUUGCGGCAACUAUGCAACCAGCCGUGGUUUCCAGAAAGUCAAAGAAGUAAAAAAAAUAUAGAAAGAAAAUAUCAAUUGUCUGCUCGGCUAAAGACAGUUAAUUGAAUCCCUACAAAAGAAGUAUCCGAUAGGCUCGUUUAAAUUGUCUAAUCAAACAACUCUGUUUUAAGCUCUCUUUAAUUGUAUUUGUAAGUAUCUCG